UUCUCAACGCGUUUCUAAUUAAAGACACGCCGGGCUAACCCACAGGGACAGCUUCCUUGCGUCUGCAACAGAAUAAAAAGUGAGCGAGCCCCUGCCAAAGAGGGAAACUUCAUCAACAGACACAGAAAAAAAAGUUGCCAAGUGCAGUUUUAUUCUUUUUCCACCCACUUUCAAGUCGAUAAAACCAGCCUAUGCAGCUAACUGCAUCUAUACAUAUAUAAGAACCUGCGUUUGGACUGACACGGUGCAGAGCAAUUACUUGGAAUGAGUGGAUGGUGCUUCUGAAGAUUGAGUGCUACUUUGUCAUUUAUAAUCCGUGACCACAGUGGGAGUUAACUUCUGAAAAAGGAAUACAGAUACACUUUGAAAGAAAACAAAAGCAAACAGGGUAAUAAGAAGAACCGAAGCUGAGGAAAAGGCGUAUUAUAAACAUCUUUCAGUAGCGAUGAACGGACUGAGAUCGCCUCUCUUUCUGGGACUGGUGUUCAUAAUGUGCACAGCUGGAUACUGCAAAGAGGGGACUGAGCACAGGGACAUGAGGGACAGUAAAACCCUCUUGAACUUGAUAAUGGAAACUGUGAAUCAGUUGAAAAAGCACAGUUCACAAGAUGUGGAAAAUAGUGUACAAUAUUUAACAAAGCAAAACAAUUACACUUUUGAUCCUAAGGGAGUACAUAAUUACAAGUCUUAUAAUGAAGACCAGCGAGUUGAAAUCUUUCCCAGAGAUCUUAGAACGAAAGAAAAGUUUUUGAAUCAUUUAACAGGACCUCUUUACUUCAGUCCAAAGUGCACUAAACACUUCCACCGGCUUUAUCACAACACCAGAGACUGCACAAUACCAGCAUAUUACAAGAGGUGUGCAAGACUUCUUACAAGAUUAGCCGUGAGUCCAAUGUGCAUGGAAGGUUAGCCUUAAAAAGGGUGCACUGUAAUAUGAGAAAUCCCAAGAACCAAGAAAAAGUGCCUCGGAAACCAACUCAAAACCUUUAUAUCAUGUCCAUUGUAAACAAAGAUUUAUUUUUGCAAAUUGGUGGAAUACUUCCAUAGACUUCUUUACACAUGUUUAUGUUGUCAGCAUUGUUUGCGGACAUACCGCAAUUGUUAAAAAUGGUACUAACGUUUGACAGUACGAAGAAGAUAUAUUGAAAAACAAAGAAGAAGAAAAAAAAAAACAUGCCACUGUUCUGCAUUGUAUUGCUGCCAAAAGAAACUAGACAAAUGUGUUAUUCCUUAAAACAUUUGGAAGCUACUUCUAUUUUGUCUAACAUACGAUUGUGGGUCAUAUUUAUAUUGACAUCUAGGGGCUGAUGUAAGGAUAUGUGCAAAGUGAUUUGCGGCUGCAAAACACCCAUAUUACUGCUAAAAAACGUGUUUAGCUGGCGUAAAGUGGAACUUUAACGGUCACUAAAUGCAGCGUAUUUAAAGAAUGGUUUUCACCUGCCGUUCUGCACACGCUAUCAAAUUAGCACUUUGCCAUCAUGAAUCCAUUUAAAUGAUAUCUGAAAUAUAUUCAGUUGAAGAAAAGAGCAUGGAAUUGGGCAGGGAUCUGGCAUACUAAGCAGGCGCAAACAUUAUAAUGAGAUGUAAGGAUUUGCUUUGCACUUGGGCAAUUGCUGACCCUUCCAAAAACGUUGCACAUCCUCGACAAGGUGCAAACCAUUGUAGAAGCGAGUAAUUAAGAACUGUAUAAAAGCACACACCUGCAGAGACCUGUCAUUGGCCUCAGGGUGGCUGCUGUGGUACACCGCCACAUGCGGCGACUCUUGGCUCUUGUAGAGGACAGGCAGGAAAACCUUUGGAGGAGAAGGGCAAGACGGAGAAGACACUGCAUAUUCAAACCCAGGGUCACUUUGUUUGGGAUCGAUUGUCUUCUCUGUACUCCUAACUCAUCUAACUGGAUGCACUGCCCGAUACGAUCAAUAGCGACGCAAUUUGUUAGUCACAUAGGCAGUGUGUUAUGCUUUUCGGUGUGCUUUUACAGGAUCGGCUGAUCGAUUUCAGUCGGCUCGCAAAAUUUAAACGUUUAAUAUUUAAACAUGUUUAAACAAUUCCGUCACAUCAGCUUUUGUGUUAUACUCACUCGCAAGUCUCAAACUUAGCAACCAAUUACUUUACCACGUUAGUUUAUAUGACUGGAGACAUGCAUGUAUUCUCUCUAUUCUCACUAAUUACACACACACACACAUAUAUAUAUAUAUAUAUAUAUAUAUAUGCUAGGGUGCGUGGUGUAAGAAUGUAAGAAUAGCUGAAUUUUCUGCGAUAUUGCUAAUAUUCUAGAGACCGUUAUUGAGAAUUAUAUUGAGAAAUUCAAAGUAAUAUUUAUAAUUGCUUUUUACAAAUUAAAAACAGAGACAUCGUAGUCAAUUUGGUUACGAAUCAGUUUUUAAGAAAACUUUCUCAGACAAAUUGGAGAUUGUUAAAAAAUUGAGGUAUACACCAUAAAGACACAGGAAUGGGAAGGGAUAUACUCACCACUUCCAACAUUCAAAUUAUGAUAGGUAUCCGUAACUUACCGGUAAAAAAAUGAUACUGCUUUCAGUACAGAAAAAGCGAUAUGGAACAGCACUGGCUACAGCAAUCUAGGAUGUCUAUCGAAGUCAGCACAAAAACAUGAGCGUUUCCAAAAUCACUUGCAAGCCACUGUAACACUCAAAACUUUUGGACAAACCCAGAUUGUGUUCAACUAGAUGAGCAGAAGCAGAUACAGUACAUCACAAUGAGCAUGUAAGAAAACAUCUUAAAUGCUUGAUUGAUUCUGUUGUUUACUUUGGCAAGCAAGAACUGACAUUCAGGGGGCACGAUCAAGGCAUCAAUUCCUCAAGUAGAGGUAAUUACGUAGAAUUACUUUCUCUGCUUUCUGACUACAAAUUGUUCGUCCCUUGAUUCCAUCGGGCAGUGCGUGAUGCCCGCUCGCAAAGAUUUUUUUGUGACACAACCUCCUCCAUUUUCCGGGCUUAAAGUGCGGCCACUCAUUGAGACCCUCAUUAUCAUGAUUGCAGCUCAUGAUUUGUGCGUGUUGAGUAAUUUGCAUUGCUCUUAAGUUACAUAGGCCGCAGUGCAAAAUAAUUGCCUGGCCGCUAGGCAAUUUGGAUUUUGCAGCUGCAAUUGUUUGCAACGCACCUUACAUCAGCCCCCUAAUGUAACGUCUUCACAGCACUGGUUAUUACUUGACAAAAUGUAACCUAAGUUUAAAGCAAAUUCCUGGGUCUCAGCAACCACAUUUACUUUGAAUACUGGGGUCAUAUUGUAUCCCAUGGUUAAAUUAUAAAUUACAUGACAAUUUUCUUGCCUUUUUGUCUUUGCAAGACAUUAUCUCUUAAGCAAAGUUGAUUUGAUUUAGAAAGUGCUGGUCAUAGUUUACAUUCUGUAAAAGACAAACAGCAUAUUUUCUGAAACUCAGUGGUGUGUGUGUAUAUAUAUAUAUAUAUAUAUACACACACACACACAAAAUACAUGUGUGUAUAUAUGUAUUUUUUUCAAGCUAAUGUCAUUAGUCUUUCUGUACAUUAAAUGUAUAAACAUUCCAGCUAAUGUGCAAUAUGUAUAUAUUGUAAAUAUUAAAUCAUCCAAUUAUAAAUAAAAAUAAG